CGUUAGCGGCGGACGGGUGAGUAACACGUGGGUAACCUACCUAUAAGACUGGGAUAACUUCGGGAAACCGGAGCUAAUACCGGAUAAUAUUUCGAACCGCAUGGUUCGAUAGUGAAAGAUGGGUUUUGCUAUCACUUAUAGAUGGACCUGCGCCGUAUUAGCUAGUUGGUAAGGUAACGGCUUACCAAGGCGACGAUACGUAGCCGACCUGAGAGGGUGAUCGGCCACACUGGAACUGAGACACGGUCCAGACUCCUACGGGAGGCAGCAGAG
rnacentral:rRNA from 1 species